rnacentral:hammerhead_ribozyme from 1 species
GUACUCCUGAUGAGUCCCAAACCAGGACGAAACACUUGUUCAGUAC